rnacentral:rRNA from 1 species
CACGUAAGUUGCGAGCGUUGUUCGGAAUUAUUGGGCGUAAAGGGCAUGUAGGCGGUAAUGCAAGUCUGGUGUGAAAUGCCGGGGCUCAACCCCGGAACAGCGUUGGAAACUGCAUUGCUUGAGUCACUGAGGGGCAGGCAGAAUUCCUGGUGUAGGGGUGAAAUCUGUAGAUAUCAGGAAGAAUACCGAUGGCGAAGGCAGCCUGCCAGCGGAUGACUGACGCUGAGGUGCGAAGGUGCGGGGAGCGAAC